CCAGAGCUGGAUUUGUGACCAUGAGUUCUGCUUGGUGAGUACCCUCAUGGGCUCCUUCCAGAUUCUUGCCAGGGAUCCUCCCUUCCUCACCGUCCUCAUGAGAUCCUGCUCUUUUCUCUCCUACAGAUAUUUGCCAACAUCUUCUUUCUAGAAACACCCUCAAGGGGAGGAAAUGUGGGCCUCCCCCUUGCUGCCAUCAGUAGCAAGGUCAAGCAGGCAAACAAGAAGCAAUGCUGCGUUUGUGCGGAGAGGGGAGAUGCCAUCACAUGCGCAGAGAGCGGCUGUGAAUGAAGCUUCCAUCUGCCCUGCGCUGCGGAUGGGGAGUGCAUCACGCAGUUCUUUGGAGAGCACAGGUCCUUCUGCUGGGAGCACCGCCCUCGGCAGGCAGCAGGGACAGCUCCAGCAGAAGACACCACCUGUGUUAUCUGCCUGGGGCCUGUGGGGGACAGAUUGUCCUACUACACCCUGGUGUGCCCAGCGUGCA
rnacentral:lncRNA from 1 species